GAGGCAGCAGCAUCCCGCAGCACACGCUCCUGCCUUCACCAACUGAGCCACACACACCGGGGGAAAGUUGGAGGCAGCGCAGCCACCGAGGGCUUCCACCGGCUGCGGGUGGAGGGAAAGCAGCAUCUCUCCCAGGUUGUCCUCAGGAAGGCAAAGCUCUGUCCCAGCUGGAGCACUGCAGACCGCUGCCACCAACCAAACAUGCAGAGCACAUGAGACCCCUUGGUUGCUCAGAGAAAAGGAGAAGGCAGCAGAGGAAAAGGGAGCAGUUGAGACCCACCAGCAGCUGCCAUGGGGGAUUGGCUCCAGCACUGACCUCACCAAUGGGGCCAACAAGCACAAGCAAGUCACAGGGCCACAUCUUUCCAUGGGUCAUGUCACUCCUAGCAGGCAAGGAGCAACACUGAAUGUGUGAAUUGACUCUGCAAUGUUCUACAAGGUCAGUGUAGGCCCAAGGUCACUUUGGAAAGGGCUCUAGAGCUGCAUCGUAGAGGCUCACACCAAGAAGCUUUGGAGCCAGUGAGAGCAGGACUGCUCCAUCCAUGCAACUGCACUAUGGAUCCUUGUUACAACCAUACAAGCUCUCAAAAAAGGAUGGACUUCCCCUUGCAGCUGCUGGUUGGGUCCUGCCUCACCAUCCUCAUCAUGGUCACUCUCUGCGGUAACAUCAUCGUCUGCCUGGCCGUCACCCUGGACCGCCGGCUCCGCAGCCUGACGAACUGUAUCAUCGUCUCCUUGGCCAUCACCGACCUGCUGCUGGGCCUCCUGGUGCUGCCAUUCUCUGCCUUUUAUGAGCUCGCCAAAGACUGGCCCUUCGGCAGCACCUUGUGCAACAUCUACACCAGCCUGGACGUCAUGCUGUGCACGGCUUCCAUCCUCAACCUCUUCAUGAUCAGCCUGGACCGCUACUUUGCUGUCACCACCCCACUCCGCUACAGCCAGCUCGUCACUCCCUCCCGGGUGGCUGUGGGUUUGGCUGUUAUUUGGACCGUUUCACUGAUGGUUUCCUUCCUACCCAUUCACCUGGGCUGGAACACCAACGGCACAGCAGUCCAAAACACAGUCCCCAACUGCAACAGGGAGUGCACACUGGAGGUGAACCCUGUGUAUGGGCUCGUGGACUCGCUGCUCACCUUCUACAUCCCCCUGGUCAUUAUGUGCAUCACCUACUACCAGAUAUUCAAGAUAGCAAGGGAGCAAGCCAAGAGGAUAAACCACACAUGGUGCUGCAGCAGCAACACCCACAUGCCGCCCAUGGUGAGGGAGCACAAAGCCACCGUGACACUAGCAGUGGUGAUGGGAGCCUUCAUCGUGUGUUGGUUCCCCUAUUUCACAGUGUUCACGUACCGCGGGAUGUGGGGGGACAGCAGGGUGAAAGGCACACCCAUGUCCAUUGUCCUCUGGCUGGGCUACGCCAACUCAGCCCUGAACCCCAUCCUCUAUGGGACACUCAACAGGGAUUUCCGGGUGGCUUACCAGCACUUGCUGCACUGCUGGAGGACUGGGGGCCCCAGGAGCUCCGGCCUGCCUCCUCCCCAGAAGGCCCAUUCCAGGGGCAGGAACUGCAGGCAGAGCCAGGGCAGGCAGGAGGGUAAACCCCUGAAACUGGAGAUGAGGAACGGGAAGGGGAUCUUGCUGACCGAUGGAGCCCUCAAGAGUGCCAGAGCUUUCCCGUGAGCCUCAGCCAGCCCCCUGCCCUGGGACCCACAUCUCCCAGCCUUCAGCUCCUGGCUGCCCUCUUCCAAAGUCCCAUGAGGUUGAAAGGACAGCACUCAGUUUUCCCCAGGGAGCAACUGGACAGCAGAGGCGAGGGCUGCAGGGACCCCUGCUCUGGCAAACAACAUUUGCCCUGUCCCCCAACAUUGCUGAGGAGCCUUCAUCUGCCCAAGGGGUUGUGUUUGAAGAGCCCCUGGAGGAGCUGCAGAAGAGCUUCUCUCCUGCCCCACUGGGGCCGUGACACCUCCAGUGUCAAGCCCCAUGCCAGCAGGCAGUGGUGCCCAAGGAGCUCGGUCAGCAGCCAACACAUAUCCCCAGCAGGGCUGGGCUAGGGGUGCCCUCCACAGACCCCCAGGGCAGUGGGUCAGGCUCAGAGGGCACAGGAGUAUGAAAGGGGCUCUGGUCUGUGAUCAAGGUCUUGGUGUCAGAGACACCAACCUAGGAUGGAGAAGGCAAGCAUAGACACUGGCUUCCCUGGUACCUUGUCCAACGGACAUACCCAUCCCUCAGAGGGGCCAGAGGUGCUGGCAGAAGUGGGGAUGAUGCCGCAGGAGGGCUAGGCAUGGUGAAUGUCAGCAGCUGUGAGUGCUGGAUGUCCUGCAGCAUCUAUACUUGGGCAAGACUGUCUCCCACGCUGGGGAGGUUUUGACAUGAUUGGUGCUAUCCCUGCUCUCUGUGACUGCUUUACAUCUGCUGUUCCAGCCCCACUUCAAGAAGAGUGGCCCUGGAGCCCCCUGGGAAACAUUGAGCAUCCAGGGUUUGUCCCUGGGCUCUAGCUUCCCCAGCAGGAUCCAAACCAGGAUGUUUCUGCAUCGAGCCUGUGCAGAAGUAAAGCAGUGUUAUAAAAAACUAUUUAACACAGUGAGAAAAUGAGAUAAUGGAUUUCUUUGGGCAUGUUUUGUCCUGGGAAGAUCUUGUCCACUAUACCCUGCCAUGCCACAUCCAUCCCUCUGCUGAGAUAGAGCCUGGACACAGCACAAACUCCCAAGACACAGGUUGCAGCUGCUCCGGGAAGGGCUGGCACGCACACACACACACAGAGCAUCUUGCCCUGUGGGACCAGUGAGAACACCCCCACACACACACCCAUGUACACACAAUCCCCAGCCCCUGAGCUUGUAGGAAGAAGGAGGCCGCCAGCAGCAAGGACUGGGUAGGACUUGAACGAACACCGACGCAUUGCUGUGCUGUAAGAGCUUUUCUCCCGGCCCUGACCCCCAUCACCCGCAGGCACAGCGUGCUCGCUCCGCAUUGCACGGCAUCCCCAGAGCGCAGCGGGGGGCAGGCAGAGCCCU